UCCCAGCCACCCCGAAUCAGUCUCAGCCCACUCCCGUGUGUGCUGGAUAGGGUUCCCGGCCACCCUCACCGGUCGCCGCCGCCGCCCUCACCGGUCGCUGCCGCCGUCGGUUUCCCCUACAUGGCCGGAGGAUAGGCCAUCCCGCCGGUCCAUUCCCGCCCCACCGUGAGGGAGGAGACCGACCAGUUGUGCCUCCCCGCCGGUCGCCGCCCGCCACCCCACGCUAUGAUGUACCCCGCCGCCAGGAGGCCAGGAGGCCGCCAUGGAUGACCGUCCCGAGCUCGCCUCGCUGCUCCUCCGGUGACCCUCGUUGCGCCUGGAUCCGGGCGGAUCCGACGAUUCCCCGACGCGCAGGCGGGCCGGCACGCGGCGCUAGGCGAAGGAGCCCUCCCAUGGCGGAUGAAUCGACUGUAGUGUGCAGCAUAUCGGACAGCUGUAGUCGUCCAUGAGGCUGCUGGCGGAUGCUGUGUGGAGGAAGGACGGCAAGGCUGGUGGUGCAGUAGUUCACCUCCUCUACGCCCUUUGAAUCUGCAACCCGUUAUUCCUAGCAGGCAUCCAGACGUUAGGAGUGAAGGGCUCCAAGGUGGUGCAAUGGUUUACAAGAAAACAUCCAAAUGGAGAAGAGCAAAAAUCGCUAAGGCUGUGUAUCUUUCUCACCUGCUCUUUUAAACAGAAUAAUUCUUUAUAUUAUUCCCCUUUUUAUUUGUUAAAGCACAAUUAAUUAUCGGCGAGAAUGUAGGGGCAACAGAACAUUUCAUGUCUGACAUGCUAUUUUGGUUUGAACAUAGCUAUAUUUAUUUAUUUGACUUUCCCUCUCGGUUGCAAAAUCUUGACUUAAUACCGUGUUGCAAUGUUCUUUUAGAAUUUUUAUGCUCAAAGUUCUACUAUUUUCACUUCAAUUGGAGAGUAGCCCCUCUUUCCAUGUCAUACCAAGAGCACGAGUUCAAAUCUGGUGGGGUUCGUGCUAUCACAACGUUUUGAUACUUUACGUGUAGUGCUUUUCCUCCUUGAUUCUGCUAAGCCAUAAUUUUUUCUCCUCUUUCCAUUCUAUGUGAUAAUCCAUAUCACAAGGGGCAAAGCUUAUUACCAACAUGCAAACAAACUAUAAAAUUUGGAAUUCUAAUAUAUGGUGAAUGCAUGCUUCGUAUUUGCAGGUUUAUAGGACAUAAGUAUUUCUUCUGGGUAUUAAUAAUAUUCCUAUAUUCCAAUUUGUAAAAGAUUUCGCAAGUAAGAAAUGUUACAUAAAUGUAUAAUGUGAUCAUUAAUAUACCAAGCGUUUGAUCAAAAGAAAAAUCACUAUAUACAUGCCUAUUUAUGAGCAGUACGCAUUACACUAUAAGUUGUAAAAAGGAGGUGAUCAGAUUCAACUCCAUCCUAUAUCACCAUGUGCAAGGUAGUGGUGUCUUGAUGCAUAUGUGUUGAAUCAUCUGUACCGUUGAUUAGUAUUAUGUAUUGUUCUUACAAAAAAACUGCUUUGCAUGAUAUGCACACGAUUCGUGACUUACAUUGAUUCACAUGAUACUUUGGAGUAGCAGAUUUCUAAUACAUAUUUGCAAGUCUAUGCAUGUCUUAUUUUGUCUUUAUAACACAGAAGAAACUAGCUAUUAAAAUAUAUUUAAAUACUUAUAAAUUGCUGCAAUAACAAAAGGAAUCUGGCUGUAUCAUGCACCACAAAGAGCUCAUAUAAAUACAUGAUUGUCAAUGCGAUAUAGAUAUUAGUAUGUAUAGAAAAUAUAAAUUGUUGGUAGAGACAAGAACUUCUAAUCUGAAUAAUCUAUGGUACUUACACUAUAAUGAGUAUACACAAAUCUCUUUUUUUAAAUGUUUAUGGAAACAUACUCUCUUUAUAAUUCUACCAUGCUUCUUUGGCAAAAAGGAAGAUAUAUGCCACAAUAGCGCACUUGAUCGCAGGUGGUCAUCCUCCUACCAACGAAGAGCAUUAAGAGGUCAGCUAACUUCUCUUUCGUUCAGAAGUACACGCUAUUGGAUGAGAUUUUAAUUUCUACUGUAUGCAUUUUUCCCCUAUCUUUCGAAAAAAUAUAAAGACAUGCAGAUUGUGUGUUGUUGAAAGAAAAUUGCACUUAAUCUAUCUCUGUAUUGUAACAAGAUGUUGUGUUGUACAUGUACAAUUCAGGCGGAUGCUAGUAGCUGCUCUUUUCCCUUGCUCUGAUCUUCAUCUCUACCAUGCCGCAAGUAUAGCUUGCUCUACUUUCCCUCUGUUUGUUGGAUUCCAUCUGUUUUGUGAAAUGUCUGUUACCGUUUUUGUCAGCCAGAGGAGAGUUGGAAUAUUUAGUAGCUUGGCAAUGCUAGCAUUCUAUUUUCAGCAUGUUUUAGUAUCUAUGGAAAAUUCUAACUUAUUCUUCGUGUUAAGUUCAUCUAGUUGCACAACAGAUACUGUUACCUAUACAUAAGAGCUCUCUUAAGACACUCCAACCAAGUCUUUUGUUUAAAUGGUAAACAUUAGAUAUUUUCAACUAUUCUGUGGGUGAGAGUAGUUGAAGGUUAUUCAUGGAAUGCCAGGUGAGUGCACAGCUGCUAGUUACAUACAUCUCUUUGAGGUCAUUGUCUGCAGUCUUACCUUGUUGAGAUCAUCGUUUACCAGUGGGUGAUGAUUGGUAGAAUAUUGGCUUACCUUAUUUCAGUAGCUGAAUGUAAUUAUCAGGAUUGUACUCUACUUUCUACCUGAAUGCAAUUAACAUGAAUUGAUACGAGCCCGGUAAAAAAAUGCAGAAUACUGUUGAUCUGCUUAUCAGCAUCUCCAUCAUCUGCAUUGUCAGCUGGACAGGAACUCUUCCGUUGUGAAUAUGACAACAAUAUUCUGCCAAGGAUGAGUUACAUUCGAAAAACACCGAUUCACUAGGGUUUGGGCUACCGCGUAGCUGGUGUGGCUCCAGCGUUGCUCCGCACCGGGACGCCAUGGACAGGAUGGCCACUUCCUCCCCUGCCCGGACGCCAUGGAGUGGCUAGAUCUGGCCAUGGACGACGACGCCCAGUGACAAGGGAUGGCCUGUCCUGCCACCCUGAAGCCAUAGCAAGGCGGAUGAACAAGGAGGAGACCACAGUCGGAGGGGAGCUAGGAGGGGUCUGAAGCGGUCGUCUCUUUCGAGCGCAAAGACGGGUCUGCGGUGGAUGCUGGGUUGCAGCUCAGGUCGAUGGUGCGGCCAUGGACACAACCUCCUCAACCUCGACAACCAAUGCGUCGGCAGGGGAGCAACUAAUUCCUGAACCUUUGCUUCUCCUCUUUUAAUUCGAAGUUCUUAGUUUAGUUCCAGAUUUCUAUGCAUGCCACCUUGUUAUGAUUAAUUAGGUUAGUUUAGUUCCAGAUUUCUGAUAGUAGGAUAAUACAAACCUGCAGCUUUGUUGUACUAGUGAUAGUAGGAUAAUGCAAGUUUUGACAAUCCAUGCAUAUUUCCGCAUCAUAAUAAUCUUCUUCUUCUAGUCUUCUUCUAACUUUCUUCUUUCCCAUU